rnacentral:rRNA from 1 species
UUUUGGAUAUAAAUUGACCAGAGUACUAUGAAUGUUAAAAAUUUAAAACUCAAAGAACUUGGCGGUGUUUUAGACCACUUAGGGGAACCUGUCUCGUAAUCGAUAGUCCACGUUGUAUCUGACCUUUUUUUGUUUUCAGUUUGUAUACCGUUGUCGUCAGGUAACUUUUUAGAGAUUAGAAGUUAGCAAUAGAAAUGUAAUUUAGUACGUCAAAUCAAGGUGCAGCUAAUAAGAAGGGGAGGAUGGGUUACAGUUAUGAUUUAUAAUACGGAAGGCGGACUUGAAAGUAAAUUAGAUAUGAAUAAUUUGAAUGAGGCUCUGAAACGUGU